rnacentral:rRNA from 1 species
AUAAACUCGGGAAACUGAGCUCAAUACCGCAUAGUCCUUCCUUGCUGGAAUGCUGGAAGGACGAAAACUACGGUGGUGCAGGAUGGGACUGUGGCUGAUUAGGCUGUUGUCGGUGUAACGAACCGACAGACCGUUGAUCAGUAGGGGCUAUGGAAGUAGGAGCCUCGAGAUGGACUCUGAGACAUGAGUCCAGGUUCUACGGAACGCAGCAGGCGCGAAACCUUUGCAAUGCGUGAAAGCGCGACAAGGCGAGUCGGAGUGCAGUUGUUAAAACAACUGCUUUUGCUCACUGAAAACGGGUGGGUGAAUAAGGACUGGGUAACACGAGUGCCAGCCGCCGCGGUAAUACUCGGAGUCCAAGUGAUUGCCACUAUUAUUGGGUCUAAAGCGUCCGUAGCCGGCCCUGUAAGUCCCUGGUGAAAUCUGGCAGCAAACUGUCAGGCGUGCUGGGGUUACUGCGGGGCUCGAGACCGGGAGAGGACACAGAUACUCGUGGGGUAGGGGUUAAAUCCUAUAAUCCUACGGGGAUCACCUGUGGCGAAGGCGUGUGUCUGGAACGGGUCUGACGGUGAGGGACGAAAGCUAGGGGAGCGAUCGGGAUUAGAUACCCCGGUAGUCCUAGCCGUAAACGAUGCCCGCUUGGUGUUGCAGUCCUCUUGGGGGAUUGCAGUGCCGGAGCGUAGGUGUUAAGCGGGCCACCUGGGGAGUAUACUCGCAAGGGUGAAACUUAGAGGAAUUGGCGGGGGAGCAC